rnacentral:rRNA from 1 species
AUACGGAGGGUGCAAGCGUUACUCGGAAUGACUGGGCGUAAAGGACGCGUAGGCGGUUUAGAAAGUCAGAUGUGAAAGCCUAUGGCUUAACCAUAGAACUGCAUCUGAAACUCCUAGACUAGAGUGAGGGAGAGGUCAGUGGAAUUAGUGGUGUAGGGGUAAAAUCCGUAGAGAUCACUAGGAAUACUCAUAGCGAAGGCGACUGACUGGAACUUUACUGACGCUGAGGCGUGAAAGCGUGGGGAGCAAACAGGAUUAGAUACCCCAGUAGUCC